rnacentral:rRNA from 1 species
UGUACGGAAGUCGCUAGAGAUUAGCUUCGUGCUCGAAAGAGAGCCGGUAACACAGGUGCUGCAUGGCUGUCGUCAGCUCGUGUCGUGAGAUGUUGGGUUAAGUCCCGCAACGACGCGCAACCCUUGUCAUUAGUUGCUACAUUCAGUUGGGCACUCUAAUGAGACUGCCGGUGACAAACCGGAGGAAGGUGGGGAUGACGUCAAGUCCUCAUGGCCCUUAUAGGUGGGGCUACACACGUCAUACAAUGGCUGGUACAAAGGGUUGCCAACCCGCGAGGGGGAGCUAAUCCCAUAAAACCAAGUCGUAGUCCGGAUCGCAGUCUGCAACUCGACUGCGUGAAGUCGGAAUCGCUAGUAAUCGUGGAUCAGAAUGUCACGGUGAAUACGUUCCCGGGUCUU